CCUUGAUCUCUGUCCUCCCUAAUUUGUUAAUAUAUGCACUCAGGGAUAUGAAUUUUCCUCUAAGUACUGCCUUGGCUGCAUCCCAUAAGGUUUGAAAGGAUGUCUCGCCCUUGUCAUUUUCUUCCAUGAAAUUAUUAAUUGUUUCUAUGAUUUCUUCUCUAACUAUCCGAUUUUGGAGUAUCAUAUUAUUUAAUUUCCAAUUAAUUUUUGAUUUUGCUCUCCAUGUACCCUUACCGAUCAAUAUUUUUAUUGCCUUGUGAUCUGAAAAGGCUGCAUUUAUUAUUUCUGCUUUUCUGCAUUUGAAUGCCAUGUUUCUGUGACCUAGUGUAUGAUCUAUUUUUGUGAAUGUGCCAUGUGGUGCUGAAAAGAAGGUGUAUUCCUUUUUGUCCCUAUUUAUUUUUCUCCAUAUGUCUAUUAACUCUAAUUUUUCUGAGAUUUCAUUCACCUCUUUUACCUCUUUCUUGUUUAAUUUUUGGUUUGAUUUAUCUAAAUUUGAUAGUGGUUGGUUCAAGUCUCCCACUAAUAUGGUUUUACUGUCUAUUUCCUCCUUCAAUUCUCCUAGUUUCUCUAUUAAAAAUUUGGAUGCUAUACCAUUUGGUGCAUACAUGUUGAUUAGUGAUAUUUCCUCAUUGUCUAUACUCCCUUUUAACAGAAUAUAUUUACCUUCCCUAUCCCUUUUAACCAGGUUUUUUUUUUUGC
rnacentral:lncRNA from 1 species